CUCUGUAAUAAUCAGUUUAUAUUUCUUAUACUUUUUCAGCGCUCGAUGAGUACGACAGAAUCAUUAUUCUUGUGGCAGUCGGUAUCGCUCUCCUUUUGCUGUCUCUGCUGAUCUUGUUGUUUGCUGUAUGUCGAGUAAUGAAAUUACGGAAAUCUGGCUUCUGAAGGGCGUCCUAUAYUACUCCACAUACGCAUUUUAGAUUUAUCUCCAGGCAACAAAUAUCGCUCGUCAUAUCGUUCGUCAUUAUUUGUAGAAAAGGUCUUCCUCGAAGUAUAUUUUAAUAGAUAUCGCUCAAGUUCAAGCGACCCCCUAUAAUAAGUACAAGGAAAGAUGGUAAAAGCAGUCCUCGUACAGUGAACAUUCCUAUAUCACCUAUGAAGCGUACCAUACUCGGUUUUCUGCUUUUUAUGAAUUGCUAAUAAACCAAUUUUUGUAAA